GCAGUCGAGCGGACAGAUGGGAGCUUGCUCCCUGAUGUUAGCGGCGGACGGGUGAGUAACACGUGGGUAACCUGCCUGUAAGACUGGGAUAACUCCGGGAAACCGGGGCUAAUACCGGAUGCUUGUUUGAACCGCAUGGUUCAAACAUAAAAGGUGGCUUCGGCUACCACUUACAGAUGGACCCGCGGCGCAUUAGCUAGUUGGUGAGGUAACGGCUCACCAAGGCAACGAUGCGUAGCCGACCUGAGAGGGUGAUCGGCCACACUGGGACUGAGACACGGCCCAGACUCCUACGGGAGGCAGCAGUAGGGAAUCUUCCGCAAUGGACGAAAGUCUGACGGAGCAACGCCGCGUGAGUGAUGAAGGUUUUCGGAUCGUAAAGCUCUGUUGUUAGGGAAGAACAAGUACCGUUCGAAUAGGGCGGUACCUUGACGGUACCUAACCAGAAAGCCACGGCUAACUACGUGCCAGCAGCCGCGGUAAUACGUAGGUGGCAAGCGUUGUCCGGAAUUAUUGGGCGUAAAGGGCUCGCAGGCGGUUCCUUAAGUCUGAUGUGAAAGCCCCCGGCUCAACCGGGGAGGGUCAUUGGAAACUGGGGAACUUGAGUGCAGAAGAGGAGAGUGGAAUUCCACGUGUAGCGGUGAAAUGCGUAGAGAUGUGGAGGAACACCAGUGGCGAAGGCGACUCUCUGGUCUGUAACUGACGCUGAGGAGCGA
rnacentral:rRNA from 1 species